GACAGCGGAGUGCCAUCGACCCACUUCCAGGAUCCCUCAGUUUCUUUAUCAUUCAAACCAAUCCAUGUUUGUUUAUUGGUGAUUGUAGAAAAAAUAAGCAACAUCAGCCAAGCUUCCACAAACAGCCAGCUUACAGACAAGAUCAAUACAGAUCAGGGCCCAAGGAGAGAGGAAAGGGGCCUGACA